UACGUGGGCUACCGGAUACGGACAAGCCUAGACACUGGGUGCGCGCGUUAGGGCUGCGCGGGGCGGGGCGGAUGGCGGCGUAGCCGGGGCGGGGAGUGCUCCUGCGUUUCCUCCUUCAACCUCCCUAGUCUUCCCUUGUCCCGCCUGGCCGUCCUCCUGCGUUGCGUACCCCCUACCGAGCUCCCAGCCAGAGAUGAACCCUCGGCCGGGCGCUGAUCUCCACCGCCAGACCCCUUCUGGAGCGGCUGGGGGGCUGGGGGGCUGGGGGGGGGGCGGGGCUUGGGCUGACAGGAGAAGGUGCCGCACUGGGAACUGAGGAAAUCUGCUCCUGACACACAGAAUUUUGAAGAUCCUACCUUUGGAUCACAAAGACCCGAGCCCUCCCUUUGUAGAUCUGGCCCCGUCCCAUCUCUGAAUGCCCUUGGUCUUCUCUGCCCUCAGUGUGAAACCAAGAAAAAGCCCAAUGGAUUAUUCUAAAAGCUGUGGUGCUCAGAAUCUAAUGGGCUGCAAAGAGCCCUUGAUCCUAACGUGACUAUAAUACUGAUUUCUGCCCAUGAAUGAGAACUGGAGGUCCAGCCUUUUUCCCUGCCAUGAAUGAGCAAGUAAAACAAGAGCUUGGACCUUUCUGGAAAAAGAAGGGUGGUAUCAGGCACCCAUAUCCGCACCUUCUUUCUGUCUCUUGACUCCUAUGUAUUUAAUUAAAUCUUUGGUGUUUUAAACACA